UACAGAGGUCCCAAGCGUUGUUCGGAUUCACUGGGCGUAAAGGGUGCGUAGGCGGUCGGGUAAGUCUGAUGUGAAAUCUCACAGCUUAACUGUGAAACUGCAUUGGAUACUAUCCGGCUCGAGGAAUGGAGGGGAGACUGGAAUACUUGGUGUAGCAGUGAAAUGCGUAGAUAUCAAGUGGAACACCAGUGGCGAAGGCGAGUCUCUGGACAUUUCCUGACGCUGUGGCGCGAAAGCUAGGGGAGCAAACGGG
rnacentral:rRNA from 1 species